AGGUAGAGCUGUAUCUGGACCCAGGGAAGUAAUGUACAGACUGAGUGACCCUGUUCAUCAGAACGUCAUGGUGGAUGGAAAAAGAUGCUGUCUUCAGCAGCGGUGAAUAACCACAACCCUGUCAGUCCAUCUCUUACUUCCCCUUUCUCUUAUAUUCUCUCUCCCUCCUUCCCUUUUCGUAACCAACUGCGGCCUUGACCUCCAACAGUAUCAGCAACAGAGAGGUGUGAAGUUUCCACAACAGACUUAGAGUCAGUUUAUCAUACACUUCUCUUUAGACGCUGCAGCCUUGACCUCCAUCAACAGAGUUAGAGUCAGUAUAUCAUGAGAACAUACAGACACCACUGACUGGAACCAGCUGACAGUAUCAGUUGUAAAGGCUUCAUUACUACUAACAGAAGGAAAGUUGUAGUGUUAUGUCCAUGAUGAAUGAUGUAAAGGCUUCAUUACUACUAACAGAAGGAAAGUUGUACUGUUAUGUCCAUGAUGAAUGAUGUAAAGGCUUCAUUACUACUAACAGAAGGAACGUUGUAGUGUUAUGUCCAUGAUGAAUGAUGUAAAGGUUUCAAUGUGUUUUAUAUUGAGCUGCUCUGUUAAAUUCUGUUUGUUCAUGUGAAAUUGGAAAUUGUAUUUUUCUAUAAUGUCAUUGUGUGUGUUUAGCUUGAGCAACACCAUUGUAUGGUUGCUAACUUGUCAAAUAAAGCUUCCUAAAAUGUGUUAGAAAA